CUAUACAUGCAAGUCGAGCGAAUGGAUUAAGAGCUUGCUCUUAUGAAGUUAGCGGCGGACGGGUGAGUAACACGUGGGUAACCUGCCCAUAAGACUGGGAUAACUCCGGGAAACCGGGGCUAAUACCGGAUAACAUUUUGAACCGCAUGGUUCGAAAUUGAAAGGCGGCUUCGGCUGUCACUUAUGGAUGGACCCGCGUCGCAUUAGCUAGUUGGUGAGGUAACGGCUCACCAAGGCAACGAUGCGUAGCCGACCUGAGAGGGUGAUCGGCCACACUGGGACUGAGACACGGCCCAGACUCCUACGGGAGGCAGCAGUAGGGAAUCUUCCGCAAUGGACGAAAGUCUGACGGAGCAACGCCGCGUGAGUGAUGAAGGCUUUCGGGUCGUAAAACUCUGUUGUUAGGGAAGAACAAGUGCUAGUUGAAUAAGCUGGCACCUUGACGGUACC
rnacentral:rRNA from 1 species